GGGGCGCCUGUGGGAGCCGUGGAGGGAACUUUCCCAGUCCCCGAGGCGGAUCCGGUGUUGCAUCCUUGGAGCGAGCUGAGAGCUCGAGGUGAGCUGGGCUCGCGGUCGCCCCUCUCGCGCGCCCUCUUUAAGAACCACGGCGUCCAACCUCCCUGGAAAUGGGGGGAACAUGGCCGAGGCGCGUGGCGAGGCCGCCUCGUGGAGGCCCCGGAGCGGCAUCCUCAGCGCCCCAGCGAUCCGGUGCCCAUUAGUACAGAACCUGCUAAGGCCAUCAAACCUAUUGAUCGGAAGUCAGUCCAUCAGAUUUGCUCUGGGCCGGUGGUACCGAGUCUAAGCACUGCGGUGAAGGAGUUAGUAGAAAACAGUCUGGAUGCUGGUGCCACUAAUAUUGAUCUAAAGCUUAAGGACUAUGGAGUGGAUCUCAUUGAAGUUUCAGGCAAUGGAUGUGGGGUAGAAGAAGAAAACUUCGAAGGCUUAACUCUGAAACAUCACACAUCUAAGAUUCAAGAGUUUGCCGACCUACCUCAGGUUGAAACUUUUGGCUUUCGGGGGGAAGCUCUGAGCUCACUUUGUGCACUGAGUGAGUGAGCGCUCAUGGGAUCUGGUUGUUUAGAAGCAUGCACCACCUCCCGCUUCACUCUCUCUGUCUCUCCUGCUCCACCAUGGCCAGAAACGUGCCUGCUUCCCCUUCGCCUUCUGCCGUGAUUGUCAGUUUCCUGAGGCCUCCCCAGCCAUGCUUCCUGUACAGCCUGCAGAACUGACUCCUAGAAGUACCCCACCCCACCCCUGCUCCUUGGAGGACAACGUGAUCACUGUAUUCAGCUCUGUCAAGAAUGGUCCAGGUUCUUCUAGAUGAUCUGCACAAAUGGCUCCUCUCCUCCUUCCUGAUGUCUGCCAUUAGCACUGGAAUAAAGUUCCUGCUGAAAAUCCA
rnacentral:lncRNA from 1 species